rnacentral:rRNA from 1 species
AGGUAAUAGAUACCCGGGUAGUCCACGCCGUAAGCGAUGAAUACUAGGUGUAGGGGUUGUCAUGACCUCUGUGCCGCCGCUAAACGCAUUAAGUAUUCCGCCUGGGGAGUACGGUCGCAAGAUUAAAACUCAAAGGAAUUGACAGGGGCCCGCACAAGCAGCGGAGCAUGUGGUUUAAUUCGAAGCAACGCGAAGAACCUUACCUAGACUUGACAUCUCCUGAAUUACUCUGUAAUGGAGGAAGCCACUUCGGUGGCAGGAAGACAGGUGGUGCAUGGUUGUCGUCAGCUCGUGUCGUGAGAUGUUGGGUUAAGUCCCGCAACGAGCGCAACCCUUAUUGUUAGUUGCUACCAUUUAGUUGAGCACUCUAGCGAGACUGCCCGGGUUAACCGGAGGAAGGUGGGAUGACGUCAAAUCAUCAUGCCCCUUAUGUCUAGGGCUACACACGUGCUACAAUGGUCGGUACAAUGAGAUGCAACCUCGCGAGAGUGAGCAAAACUAUAAAACCGAUCUCAGUUCGG